rnacentral:rRNA from 1 species
GAGAGGUGCAAACGUUAUUCGGAAUCAUUGGGCGUAAAGGGUGUGUAGGCGGCUUAUUAAGUUUGUUGUUAAAUAUCUCGGCCUAACCGAGAACAGGCAAUGAAAACUGAUUAGCUAGAGGAUGGAAGAGAGGAGUGGAAUUCUCGGAGUAGCGGUAAAAUGCGUAGAUCUCGAGAGGAACACCGAUGGCGAAGGCAGCUCCUUGGUCCAUAUCUGACGCUGAGGCACGAAAGCGUGGGUAGCAAACAGGAUUAGAUACCCUGGUAGUCCACGCCGUAAACGAUGAUCACUAGAUGUCGGUUCCGUUGAGGAAUCGGUGUCGUAGCUAACGCGAUAAGUGAUCCGCCUGGGAGUACGGUCGCAAGAUUA